rnacentral:rRNA from 2 species
AAAUUGAAGAGUUUGAUCAUGGCUCAGAUUGAACGCUGGCGGCAGGCCUAACACAUGCAAGUCGAACGGUAACAGGAAGCAGCUUGCUGCUUUGCUGACGAGUGGCGGACGGGUGAGUAAUGUCUGGGAAACUGCCUGAUGGAGGGGGAUAACUACUGGAAACGGUGGCUAAUACCGCAUAACGUCGCAAGACCAAAGAGGGGGACCUUCGGGCCUCUUGCCAUCAGAUGUGCCCAGAUGGGAUUAGCUAGUUGGUGAGGUAACGGCUCACCAAGGCGACGAUCCCUAGCUGGUCUGAGAGGAUGACCAGCCACACUGGAACUGAGACACGGUCCAGACUCCUACGGGAGGCAGCAGUGGGGAAUAUUGCACAAUGGGCGCAAGCCUGAUGCAGCCAUGCCGCGUGUAUGAAGAAGGCCUUCGGGUUGUAAAGUACUUUCAGCGGGGAGGAAGGUGUUGUGGUUAAUAACCGCAGCAAUUGACGUUACCCGCAGAAGAAGCACCGGCUAACUCCGUGCCAGCAGCCGCGGUAAUACGGAGGGUGCAAGCGUUAAUCGGAAUUACUGGGCGUAAAGCGCACGCAGGCGGUCUGUCAAGUCGGAUGUGAAAUCCCCGGGCUCAACCUGGGAACUGCAUUCGAAACUGGCAGGCUUGAGUCUUGUAGAGGGGGGUAGAAUUCCAGGUGUAGCGGUGAAAUGCGUAGAGAUCUGGAGGAAUACCGGUGGCGAAGGCGGCCCCCUGGACAAAGACUGACGCUCAGGUGCGAAAGCGUGGGGAGCAAACAGGAUUAGAUACCCUGGUAGUCCACGCCGUAAACGAUGUCUACUUGGAGGUUGUGCCCUUGAGGCGUGGCUUCCGGAGCUAACGCGUUAAGUAGACCGCCUGGGGAGUACGGCCGCAAGGUUAAAACUCAAAUGAAUUGACGGGGGCCCGCACAAGCGGUGGAGCAUGUGGUUUAAUUCGAUGCAACGCGAAGAACCUUACCUGGUCUUGACAUCCACAGAACUUUCCAGAGAUGGACUGGUGCCUUCGGGAACUGUGAGACAGGUGCUGCAUGGCUGUCGUCAGCUCGUGUUGUGAAAUGUUGGGUUAAGUCCCGCAACGAGCGCAACCCUUAUCCUUUGUUGCCAGCGAUUAGGUCGGGAACUCAAAGGAGACUGCCAGUGAUAAACUGGAGGAAGGUGGGGAUGACGUCAAGUCAUCAUGGCCCUUACGACCAGGGCUACACACGUGCUACAAUGGCGCAUACAAAGAGAAGCGACCUCGCGAGAGCAAGCGGACCUCAUAAAGUGCGUCGUAGUCCGGAUUGGAGUCUGCAACUCGACUCCAUGAAGUCGGAAUCGCUAGUAAUCGUGGAUCAGAAUGCCACGGUGAAUACGUUCCCGGGCCUUGUACACACCGCCCGUCACACCAUGGGAGUGGGUUGCAAAAGAAGUAGGUAGCUUAACCUUCGGGAGGGCGCUUACCACUUUGUGAUUCAUGACUGGGGUGAAGUCGUAACAAGGUAACCGUAGGGGAACCUGCGGUUGGAUCACCUCCUUA